rnacentral:misc_RNA from 1 species
UUUCCGUAGGUGAACCUGCGGAAGGAUCAUUAUUGAGCUUAUUCAUACACGUGAACGAAUUAUGCUUGGCUUCUGCGCGCUUCUUGCGCUGCUUACCCCGAUAUUAUCGCAUAUAAUUGUCUGAUAGAACAAAGAAAUUUUAAAACUUUCAACAACGGAUCUCUUGGUUCUC